rnacentral:rRNA from 1 species
UGCAUGUGUAAGUAUAAGCGACUUUAUACUGUGAAACUGCGAACGGCUCAUUAUAUCAGUUAUAGUUUAUUUGAUAAAUAUCUUACUACUUGGAUAACCGUAGUAAUUCUAGAGCUAAUACAUGCACCAAGUCCCGACCUCACGGAAGGGAUGUAUUUAUUAGAUAUCAGCCAUCUCGCUUCGGCGGUUUUUGGUGAGUCAUAAUAACUUUGCGAAUCGCAGGGGCCUAGUGCCGGCGAUGAAUCAUUCAAGUUUCUGCCCUAUCAGCUUUCGAUGGUAGUGUAUUGGACUACCAUGGCGGUGACGGGUAACGGAGAAUUAGGGUUCGAUUCCGGAGAGGGAGCCUGAGAGAUGGCUACCACAUCCAAGGAAGGCAGCAGGCGCGUAAAUUACCCAAUCCCAAUUCGGGGAGGUAGUGACAAUAAAUAUCAAUGCGGGGCCCAACGGGUCUUGCAAUUGGAAUGAGUACAAUUUAAAUCCCUUAACGAGGAUCAAUUGGAGGGCAAGUCUGGUGCCAGCAGCCGCGGUAAUUCCAGCUCCAAUAGCGUAUAUUAAAGUUGUUGCAGUUAAAAAGCUCGUAGUUGGAUUUCUGGGCUGAGCGACCGGUCCGCCGCUGUGCGGUGUGUACUCGUGUUCGACUCGGCUCAUCCUUGUGGGGAAACGCAUUUCGGCAUUAGGUUGUCGAGGCGGGGAACCGCAUCGUUUACUGUGAAAAAAUUAGAGUGUUUAAAGCAGGCAAAUUGCUGUGAAUACAUUAGCAUGGAAUAAUAACAUAGGACUUUGGUUCUAUUUUGUUGGUUGGAGGCCAAGGUAAUGAUUAAUAGGGAUAGUUGGGGGUAUUCAUAUUUAAUUGUCAGAGGUGAAAUUCUUGGAUUUAUGAAAGAUGAACUCAUGCGAAAGCAUUUACC